CACCCAGCCUCUGGCUACAUACUAAUCAGCCCUACUGCUGCAGGUCAGGGAGAGAGAGAGAGAGAGAGAGAGAGAGAGAGAAUAAAAACAGAGAGUGAAGGGAGGGAGGGAUAGAGAAAGAGAGGUGGACAGAUGAAGUGAAAACACAAGAAAGGUUCAGUGCAUGUACACAGAUAGAAAUAUAGAUGGUGGAUAGAUAGAGAGAUGGGUGGAUGGAGGGAGAGAGGGGUGGAUGAGAGAGAGAUGGGUGGAGAGAGAGAGAGGGGUGGAUGGAUGGAGAGAGAUGGGUGGAUGGAGAGAGAGAUGGGUGGAUGGAUAGAGAUGGGUGGAGAGAGAGAGAGGGGUGGAUGGAUAGAGAGAUGGGUGGAGAGAGAGAGGGGUGGAUGGAUAGAGAAAUGGGUGGAUGGAGAGAGAAAGAUGGGUGGAUGGAGAGAGAGAGGGGUGGGUGGAUGGAGAGAGAUGGGUGGAUGGAGAGAGAGAUGGGUGGAUGGAUAGAGAUGGGUGGAGAGAGAGAGAGGGGUGGAUGGAUAGAGAGAUGGGUGGAGAGAGAGAGAGGGGUGGAUGGAUAGAGAGAAGGGUGGAUGGAUAGAGAGAGAUGGGUGGAUGGAGAGAGAGAUGGGUGGAUGGAUAGAGAGAGAUGGGUGGAUGGAGAGAGAGAUGGGUGGAUGGAGAGAGAGAGAUGGGUGGAUGGAGAGAGAGAGAUGGGUGGAUGGAGAGAGAGAUGGGUGGAUGGAAAGAGAGAUGGGUGGAUGGAGAGAGAAAGAUGGGUGGAUGGAUAGAGAGAGAUGGGUGGAUGGAGAGAGAGAGAUGGGUGGACGGAUAGAGAGAUGGGUGGAUGGAUAGAGAGAGAUGGGUGGAUGGAGAGAGAGAUGGGUGGAUGGAGAGAGAGAGAUGGGUGGAUGGAGAGAGAGAGAUAGGUGGAUGGAGAGACGGUCAGGGAGAUAAAUGCUGAGCUGAGAGCUGUUAAGAGAGCAGUGGAGGGUUGCUGAAUGCACUGGAAGUAAGUGACAGGAAAAAGAAGGCCAGAGUUAGAGAGAGGUAGAGGGAGAGAGAGAUAGAGGGAGAGAGAGCUGGAGUUAGAG
ensembl:lncRNA